AAAAGUUAAUUUAUAACUUAUCAAAAUGAUAUUAAACAUAAAAAUAUUAUUAAAAAAUGGAAGUGUUCGUUUUUUCCAAAAUAAUUGCUUCAAAUAUUUUUAUUGAUCUCUGAACAUAUUAAUGAACAUGAGAUUUGUUCGCCGCUACAUUUUCUCAAAAACAGCUGGAAUGCCCCUCCUUUUUAAGAAUGAGGAGCUAGCUCCUUUUAAGUUUUAGAUAUUAUGGAUUUAGAGAUCAUAGAAGAAGAAAUCGAAUUUCCAUUUCCACCAUAUAAAAAAUAUUUCAAGCUUAUAGAUGAUACAGAUGAUAAAGUCAACUUAAAGGCGAAAUGCCUAUUAUGUAUUAACAACAAAAGGAUAUCUUUCUCUAAAAUCUCGAGCUUUAAUUUAAAAAAACAUUUAAAAAGAGUACAUGUUAAUCAAUAUACAAAAAUUGAAAAUCAUAUCAAUAGUAUAAUAAAAAAGAUAUUAGCCAAAAUAUAAAGUCUUCUGAGAAAAAACAGUCAAUAUUAAAUUUUAGUCAAAAAAUAUAUGAACCUACAAAAACUGAAGGAGAUAAUGCAAUCAUUGAUUAUGUCAUUGAGACACUAGUUCCUUUAUCAACGCUAGACAAUCCUAGCUUUGUCAAAAUGAUAAAAACGUUUUCCCCUUCAGCAAAGGUAAUGUGCCGCCAAACACUAAUAGCAAAGAUAGGUUUGCGUUAUGAUAAAAUGAUGGAUGAUAUUAUAGAAAUGCUUUCUGGAGUAUCUUAUAUUUGUACCACAGCUGAUUGCUGGAGUGGAUUUAGAAGGUAGUGCCUAUAUUUUUAAAUGUGCUUGAUUAAUUUAACUUAUAAAGGUCUUUUUUGGGUAUAACAGCUCAUUAGAUUGACACAAAAUCAUUGCAAAGAAAAUCAGCAGCUUUAGCCCUAAGACGUGUUCAAGGCAAGCAUACUUUUGAUGUUUUGGCCAAGAUGAUAAUUGAUAUACAUAAAAGCUUUAAAAUUCAAAAUAAAGUGAUAAAAACCAUUACUGAUAAUGGUAUAAACUUUGUGAAAGCAUUCAGAAUGUUUGAAGAUAUAAUCUGAGAUGGAUGAUGAUUUCCAAUUUGUGGAUAUUGAUGAUAUCCUAAAUAAUAGGGCAGAAAGCUUUGAUUAUCUCCCUCAACAUUCACGAUGUGCUUGCCACAAUCUCAAUUUGGUGGCAACAGUUGACGCAGAGAAAGCUUUAGGUGAUAGAAGCUUUCAAAUAGUAUCUCAAAGUUUAUUCCAAAAGUGUCAAUCUUUGUGGAAUAAACAAAAUAUGUCUACAAAUAUGGCUGACGAUAUUAUCAGAAAGUUGGGUAGGUAUCUAAUAUGCCCAAAUUCCACUAGGUAGGAUUCGUAUUAUGAGUCUAUGGUUUGCUAGAUAAAAUAUAAGAUGAAAAACAAAAAGAUCUUGAUGAGUUGUGUGAUAACAAUGGGCUUAUACGCUUUAACUCUCAAGAAGGUAAAUUUAUUAAAGAGUAUAGUCAAGUAAAUAUUAAUAAAAUCGUUAUCUUAGUGAAGUAAAUAAAUUUUAGGUUAUGGAGCCUAUGAAAAAAGCUCUAAAAAUCCUUGAAGGGGAGCUUCAUAUGGACAUGGGUUUCCUAAAUCCAACCAUUUCUAAACUUAUUUCAAAAUUAAACGAAUUAACAGAUUUAGAGUUUUGCCAACCUCUUGCAAAGUCUCUUAUAAGCGGUAUUAAUAAAAGAUUUUCAAAUAUUUAUAAUGAUGAAAAUAUCAUUGCAGCGAUUGUCCAUCCUGCAUUCAAAUUGAAUUGGGAAUGGAUAAAAAAUCCAAAAAAUAUGGAACUAAAAGGCAGAUUAAUUAAAUUUUUAAGGAAACAAAUACCCGACGGAAAAAUAGCUACUACUAGUUCACGGGAACCUUGCAAUGAUUUGGAAGAUUUCUUUGGAUUCCAUGAAAUUGAUCACCAUGAAAAUAAUAUAUUGGAUAGAUAUUUUUUAAAUAAUGAUAGCAAAAUUACUAUUUUUGAACAAUUCCCUGAAUUAAAAAAUAUUUAUAUAAAAUACAAUACCCCGCUUCCCUCUAGUGCUCCUGUGGAGCGCCUAUUUAGUAUUGCAAAACAGGUCUUAAGGGAGAGGAGUGGGUGUUUGUUAGAUUCUAAUUUAGAAAAUUUAUUACUUUUAGAAGCUAAUAAAAGAUUAUAAAUAUUUUGAUAUAUCAUAUAAUAUAAAUAAAACGUUUUGAUAAAAAAUAUAAUUUUGUUUCGUGUACCUUCUAAAAAAAUGAAAAUCAAAGGAGCGGUUAUGGAGCGGCACUCCAUUAGUUGGAGCGGGAGCGCUCCUUUUAAUAUGUAGAAGCGGGAGCUCGCUUCUUUUGAGAAGGUAGGAGCGGGAGCUCGUUACUUUUAAAAAGGAGCGUUAACAACUCUGGUUACAGCCAUUUUCAAAUUCUUGUAAAAUUAAUUGUCAAAGGUAAUCAUUUAUUAGUUUUAAUACUAUUUUUUUUAAAGAUAUUUAAAUAUAAAAUUUUUCAUUUUGCUGACUUGAGAAACCAGGAAUUGAGAACUGGUAUGAGGCAGAAUCUUGCAAAAGCAAUACAAUUUAAUAAUCAAUAAGUCAUGUAAAUUAAUAUUUAUAUCUUCUUUUAUAUUUUAAAAAUUAUAUUGUAUAAAGAUCAGGCCUGAUAUAAGACAUAUUAUAAAAAUUAUGAUAUUAUAUAUUAUCUAUGCUAAUGUAAAUAUAUUUUAUUUUUUAUAGGUGAUGAUCGAAUCAAAAAAAAUGAA